CCUGGAUGUUGAACUUGCAAAAGGGUUAUAUCACUCGGACAGCGCUCGUGGUGUUUGUUCAUUUCUUGGGCCCUCGGGAUCCUUUAAGCAGUGAAAUGGGAACUGCAUGGGUAGUGCAGCUUCUUAAGAACAUUUAAAUACACUUUUCUGUUGUAGAGCCCAAAACAUAUGGCAACUUUCAUUUAAAAUUUUUAUUUAAAAAUAAUUUUUUCUUGCAUAGGGCCCUGGUCCUCUGUGUGACCAGUCAAAGAGACACAAAGGAACAUUACACGCUGAUUUCCUUGUUGCUCUUACAGCAGAAUGGGAUUUUGAUGCUGAGGAUUCUGGACAGAAGGGACAGACUUCAGGGUGAUUCCUUCACUGAGUCUGGAGCCAAGGUGGAAAAAAAAGGUUUUAUGUCUCUGUGCCGGAGGUAUUAUGUUUUGGAGUUGUGGGCCGACGGCCCGUCCAUCCCUGGUCUUGAUGGGGUCGUCGGGCAGUUCCUGCCACCUGCUGCUUAUCUUCGUGAUUGCCUUCGCCCACCUCCAGUAUUUAAGCCGGCCUGAUCUACCAGUCUUCGCCAGGUCGUCAGAUACUCCUGCGUUUUUCCCCUGUGUCCGGCUCCUCCGCUUUGACCGGCAUGUCUCCCUGCCUCGCCAGUUCCCGUCCGGAGCUCCCGCAUCCAGCCUCCCAAUUUCAAACUUCAUCAACCUGUUAAAAUAAACUUCUGUACUGAAGAGGUCGGCCUAGUGGGUCCAGUUAUUUGAAAGAAACCUAACAGCAGCAUCUGGAGAUGAGGGAGG
ensembl:lncRNA